rnacentral:rRNA from 1 species
UACGAAGGGGGCUAGCGUUGCUCGGAAUCACUGGGCGUAAAGCGUGCGCAGGCGGUUCGACAAGUCCGAUGUGAAAGCCCCGGGCUCAACCUGGGAAUGGCAUUGGAAACUGGCGAGCUUGAGUGUGGCAGAGGGGGGUGGAAUUCCGCGUGUAGCAGUGAAAUGCGUAGAGAUGCGGAGGAACACCGAUGGCCGAAGGCAGCCCCCUGGGCUGACACUGACGCUCAGGCACGAAAGCGUGGGGAGCAAACAGG